rnacentral:rRNA from 1 species
UACGGAGGGUGCAAGCGUUGUCCGGAAUCACUGGGCGUAAAGGGCGCGUAGGCGGCUCGGUAAGUAGGGGGUGAAAUCCUGCGGCUUAACCGCAGGGCUGCCUUCUAAACUGUCGAGCUCGAGCACGGUAGAGGCAGAUGGAAUUCCCGGUGUAGCGGUGGAAUGCGUAGAGAUCGGGAAGAACAUCAGUGGCGAAGGCGGCGCUCUGGAACAUUUCUGACGCUGAGGCUCGAAAGCGUGGGGAGCAAACAGG